rnacentral:rRNA from 1 species
UACGGAGGGUGCAAGCGUUUAUCCGGAAUCAUUGGGUUUAAAGGGUCCGCAGGCGGAUUUAUAAGUCAGUGGUGAAAGCCCGUUGCUCAACAACGGAACUGCCAUUGAUACUGUAAGUCUUGAAUUCGGUCGAAGUGGGCGGAAUAUGACAUGUAGCGGUGAAAUGCUUAGAUAUGUCAUAGAACACCGAUAGCGAAGGCAGCUCACUAGGCCUGGAAUUGACGCUCAGGGACGAAAGCGUGGGGAGCAAACAGG